AUGCUUGUUUCAGCAGCACAUUUACUAAAAUUGGAAUGAUACAGACAAGAUUAGCAUGGCCCCUGUUCAAGGAUGACAUGCAAAUUUGUGAAGAGUAAAAAAACCCA